UUACUAAAAUCUGGUUGUUUUUGUUAUCGGGUAUGAAUAUUUGAUUCAUAGAGUCAUAUAUUUUACGAUUCUUAUCCGAUCGAAUAAUUGGCGCCACAUAUUCCAGCAGAGAGUUAUUUUUUUUUAUAUGACUAGAUACAUGUAUUGUUAAGUGUAGUAGAUACUAACAUUACUGUAUCUCAGAUAACAUUGAGGAACAAGAAGAAAACUUGUCUUUAUGUUUUAAUUUCAUGCAUCCCUGUUCACAACAAAAUUGGUUGAUCCGUACUGCGUCUAAAUUAAUCUAUUAUGGGUUAGCCUAGUGGUUCAAGCUUUCGUUCGUCACGCCGGAGACCCGGGUUCGAUUCCCGACAUGGGUACAAUGUGUCCCUCGCCGUGAUAUUGUUGGAAUAUUGCUAAAAGCGGCAUAAAUCCACACUCACUCACACACUCACUCAGUAUUAUGGGUUAAAUACGGUAAGACUUUGCCUGCCGCAGCCAGGUACAUUGCACGUGAAUGUUGUGUCACGAAGUCACGUGAGGAAGGUGACGUGUAGUGUUCACUGACUGUGUUUAACCACUCGGGGUCUUCGCAUUACACAGGCGAGCAUAUACAUGUAUAUACAUCUUGCUAAAUAAUUGAACAACAGACAACUUCUCCGUCAUCCCCUCUCGAAGCUUCCGAGGAAAUUCAGCCUGACAGACCAAGGGAUUCCGUGGAAGUUGCGGAACUGGAGGGAAACGACAUUGCUUCUGGCUCAGACGAAGAACGUCUCCUUGAGAAGACAGAGAGUAAGGCACCCCGUAAGCAUCGAGCAGCUCAUUACAGGCCUCGAGACAAAGUACUUCACAAUGCUCCUUCUGCUACUUUCCCUAACCCUAAUAACGACAUGCCUUCUCAGGCCCCUCCCUCCUUGCAAACCCAGGCCUUUCGUCCCAAAUUCAUACGUACUGCAACACCAUCAAUUUGGAAGAACUUUGAUGCACCAGAAUAAAUUAUUAAAACUAUUCAGGAAGGUUACCUUAUUCCCUCAGUUGAUAGCCCACCUCGUGCACACAGUAAGAAUAAUAGCUCUGCCAUAAAGAAUGGAGAUUUCGUUUCAGAGUCUGUUCAUGAACUCUUGAAAAACGAAUGUAGAGUUGAAAUUAAUACUACUUCUCAUGUUAUUAAUCCUCUUUCAGUGUCGGUUCAGCAUCCAGGCAAAAAGAGGUUGAUUUUAGACCUGUGAUUGGUGAAUCAAUUUGUCUGGAAAGAAAAAAAUGUUUUUGAAGGCUAUAAAAUCGCACUAGACUUUUUACAAAACUCUGGUUAUAUGUUCAGGUUUGAUUUAAAGUCAGGUUGCCAUCAUAUUGACAUUCACCCUACUCAACAUACUUUUCUUGGUUUCGCUUGGAAACGCCAAGGCGCUGUAAAGUAUUUUUGUUUCACAGUUCUUCCGAUCGGUAUCACGUCAGCUUCCUACAUCUUCACGAAGUGUGUUCGCCCAUUGGUCAAGUACCGGAGAAAGCAUUCCAUUAGCAUCGUAGUUUACCUGGACGAUGGUUUUGGUUAUUCGGUGUCAAAGGCCAUAUGUACUUAACACUCAUAUAUAGUUAAGAAUACUUUAACCAGAGCCGGUUUCGUUUACAAUGUAGAAAAGUCUGUAUGGAAUCCUCAAACUAGACUAGAGUGACUUGACUUUAUCUGGGAUCUAGAUUUGGGUAUCCUGUCUUUUAAAUUGGAAGAUGUUAGGAAUAGAUUCGCAGGGUUCCUUGCAUGUCGUUUUACAGCACGAAGCUUGUCUAGUUUGACAGGCAAGAUCAUAUCUCUAUGUCCAGUUAUGGGGGACAUCUGCAGGCUAUUGACUAAACAGAUGCACACAGAAAUUCAGAGGUCAGUAUCUUGGGACAAAAUGAUUAGGUUAGAUGUUCCUGAGUGCGUCUAUGAGCUUAUGUUUUGGAGGGACAAUAUUUCCCUUCGGAACUGUCGGACUCCAUUGACUUCCGUAUUUUCAGAUGCCAUUGAUUUUGGCUGUGCUGGUUAUAUACAAAAUACUGAUUACGUUUUUCAAUACGGCGGGGAUUUGGACCAAGCUAAGCGCAGUUCAACAUGGAGAGAGAUGAAAGCUGUGGAAUUAACUUUGAUUGCAUUUUCAAACAUACUGCGCAAUAAGACCGUAAACUGGUUCACAGAUAGCAAGCCUUGUUGUCAUGUCGCAACAUGUGGUAGUUUUAAAACGCAUUUACAGAAACUAGCUAUGUCAAUAUUCGUUAAAGCUAGUAUACACAAUAUCAUAUUGAAGUUCAAUUGGAUCCCAAGGUCAGACAAUGAGAAAGCUGAUGCUUUAAGCAGAUUUGAAGAUUCAGAUGAUUUGAGAGUUACAAAUACAAUUUUCAGGAUUCUGGAUGCACGAUGGGGACCACAUUCAGUGGACAGAUUCGCAGAUCACAUUAAUACACAGUUGGUAAUAUUCAAUUCCAGAUCUUGAGUUCCCGGUGCCGAGACAGUCGAUGCGUUUUUUACACAGCAGCGGCAAAGAGACAAAAACAGGGCUUUACCACUUGUCCAUCUGGUUUCAAAAACAAUCAAGUUUGUUCUGAGGAACAAGGCUCCAACUAUGGCUGUACCUAUGUGGCCCUCUGCGUCAUAUUGGCCUGUCUUGUUUGAUGGUGAUAAACCAGAUCCCUUGGUGCAGGUAUGCUACAACUUUAAGGCAGUACUACUGUCGAAGGUGGAAGCAAAGCUUCUAUGUUUGAUUCAUUUAACGGAUACGUUCUGGCCAUUAGAAUUAAUCCAAUUUGUUGUUAAUAUUGCAGAUAUGUUUGGUCUAGGCAUCUGGAAGGAGAAAGAUUCCUUGGUUCAUGAGGAUUCAUCA